rnacentral:rRNA from 1 species
GCUCAGAUUGAACGCUGGCGGCAGGUCUAACACAUGCAAGUCGAACGGUAACAGGAAGAAGCUUGCUUCUUUGCUGACGAGUGGCGGACGGGUGAGUAAUGUCUGGGAAACUGCCUGAUGGAGGGGGAUAACUACUGGAAACGGUAGCUAAUACCGCAUAACGUCGCAAGACCAAAGAGGGGGACCUUCGGGCCUCUUGCCAUCGGAUGUGCCCAGAUGGGAUUAGCUAGUAGGUGGGGUAACGGCUCACCUAGGCGACGAUCCCUAGCUGGUCUGAGAGGAUGACCAGCCACACUGGAACUGAGACACGGUCCAGACUCCUACGGGAGGCAGCAGUA